AAAAAACCGCACCGUCAGUCGUAAUUAAAGAGAACCUGACAGUUUCAAUAAUAUGGGAACUUGGCUCGUGAGUGUGGAGCGCAUGCCAUCGAAUGAAGAUUAAAGGCUUUGCGAUGACGUCUAAAAAUAGACCGAGCAAGCUGGAUGGAAGCGUGAAAUACUCAGGCAGGUACCCACUGUGUAAAGAGAAGAGGUUCUUCCCUUAAUUUGACCGAUGAGUGCGGUUUUUUA
rnacentral:other from 1 species